CAGGAACUGAAGUCAGUAGGACCGUUGUCAGAGUGAUUUUGAUUAUUGUUGAGUUUGCAGUGUUUGCUGCUCCUACUGUGAUUCUUCUUCAGAUCAUCUGUUCACGAAGAGCUGGGAGGAAGGACUCACAGCACUCAGAGGAAAUAAUGAUUAAUACAAUAUAU